AGGGAACGCUGGCGGCAGGCCUAACACAUGCAAGUCGAACGGCUCUUCGGAGCAGUGGCGGACGGGUGAGUAACGCGUGGGAACGUGCCCUUUGGUUCGGAACAACACAGGGAAACUUGUGCUAAUACCGGAUGUGCCCUUCGGGGGAAAGAUUUAUCGCCAUUGGAGCGGCCCGCGUUGGAUUAGGUAGUUGGUGGGGUAAAGGCCCACCAAGCCUACGAUCCAUAGCUGGUCUGAGAGGAUGAUCAGCCACACUGGGACUGAGACACGGCCCAGACUCCUACGGGAGGCAGCAGUGGGGAAUCUUGCGCAAUGGGCGAAAGCCUGACGCAGCCAUGCCGCGUGAAUGAUGAAGGUCUUAGGAUUGUAAAAUUCUUUCACCGGGGAAGAUAAUGACGGUACCCGGAGAAGAAGCCCCGGCUAACUUCGUGCCAGCAGCCGCGGUAA
rnacentral:rRNA from 1 species